rnacentral:rRNA from 1 species
UACGAAGGGGGCUAGCGUUGCUCGGAAUGACUGGGCGUAAAGGGCGCGUAGGCGGAUGACACAGUCAGAUGUGAAAUUCCCGGGCUUAACCUGGGGGCUGCAUUUGAUACGUGUUGUCUAGAGUGAGGAAGAGGGUUGUGGAAUUCCCAGUGUAGAGGUGAAAUUCGUAGAUAUUGGGAAGAACACCGGUGGCGAAGGCGGCGACCUGGUCCUUGACUGACGCUGAGGCGCGAAAGCGUGGGGAGCAAACAGG